rnacentral:rRNA from 1 species
CAUGCAAGUCGAACGAGAGAUGAGGAGCUUGCUCUUCAAAUCGAGUGGCGAACGGGUGAGUAACGCGUGAGGAACCUGCCUCAAAGAGGGGGACAACAGUUGGAAACGACUGCCAAUACCGCAUAAGCCCACGGCUCGGCAUCGAGCAGAGGGAAAAGGAGCAAUCCGCUUUGAGAUGGCCUCGCGUCCGAUUAGCUAGUUGGUGAGGUAACGGCCCACCAAGGCGACGAUCGGUAGCCGGACUGAGAGGUUGAACGGCCACAUUGGGACUGAGACACGGCCCAGACUCCUACGGGAGGCAGCAGUGGGGAAUAUUGCACAAUGGGGGAAACCCUGAUGCAGCGACGCCGCGUGGAGGGAGAAGGUCUUCGGAUUGUAAACUCCUGUUGUUGAGGAAGAUAAUGACGGUACUCAACAAGGAAGUGACGGCUAACUACGUGCCAGCAGCCGCGGUAAAACGUAGGUCACAAGCGUUGUCCGGAAUUACUGGGUGUAAAGGGAGCGCAGGCGGGAGAACAAGUUGGAAGUGAAAUCCAUGGGCUCAACCCAUGAACUGCUUUCAAAACUGUUUUUCUUGAGUAGUGCAGAGGUAGGCGGAAUUCCCGGUGUAGCGGUGGAAUGCGUAGAUAUCGGGAGGAACACCAGUGGCGAAGGCGGCCUACUGGGCACCAACUGACGCUGAGGCUCGAAAGUGUGGGUAGCAAACAGGAUUAGAUACCCUGGUAGUCCACACCGUAAACGAUGAUUACUAGGUGUUGGAGGAUUGACCCCUUCAGUGCCGCAGUUAACACAAUAAGUAAUCCACCUGGGGAGUACGACCGCAAGGUUGAAACUC